rnacentral:rRNA from 1 species
CAUGCCGUAAACUAUGCUUGCUAAGUGUUUUAAGGGACUUGAUCCCUGGAGUACUGUAACCUAACGGGUUAAGCAAGCCACCUGGGUAGUACAGUCGCAAGACUGAAACUCAAAGGAAUAGGCGGGGGAACACACAAGCAGUGGAUGAUCUCGAUUAAUUGGACGUUAAGCCAAGAACCUUACCUAGGUUUGACAUGUAUUUCUAAGGUAGUGAAAGCUAUCGAGCGUAGCAAUACGCAACUUACACAGGUGG